GCCAGGCGUGGUGGCGGAUGCCUGUAGUCCCAGCUACUUGGGAGGCUGAGGCAGGAGAAUCGCUUGAACCCAGGAGGCAGGGGAGCUUGCAGUGAGCAGAGAUCGUGCCACUGCAAUCCAGCCUGGGUGACAGAGCGAGACUCCGUCUCAA
rfam:Pan troglodytes isolate Yerkes chimp pedigree #C0471 (Clint) chromosome 9, whole genome shotgun sequence.